rnacentral:tRNA from 2 species
AUCUGGAUGGCAGAGCGGUCUAAUGCGUGUGACUAGAAAUCACAUCUCUUCGGAGGCGUAGGUUCAAAUCCUGCUCCAGAUG